AAAACUUGAAAAAUAUUGUUGUUUCUUUCAGGAUUUAUGCUUAAUUUGACUAAUUUUAUUGAUUUAUUUUCAUUUAAGCACUUUAGAGGACUUUAACCUUUCAGCUUUCUUGGCCCCGGGAGUGCUCGGUCUCUGAUCAGCGGGGGCAUUUUCUCUAUAUAAGAAGAAGAUGGAGACUCCCUACCCACCCGAUGUAUUUUGUCGGACAGUUUUCUGUACAUUGCAGUCACCAAUAUAUCCAAAUAUCAUCACCGGCCCAGACGUCAUUCACUCCUUUGAACUGUGCUGGUAGCAGUAAGGUGUCAUCAUUUGAGAUGGUCACAGUAUCCAAUACACUGAAGUCACAGGACUCAAAUUUCAUACAUGUUCACAGAAAAUUCUGCCAAGAGACAGUUGUGAGGGGAAUGGUGUAGAUAAUCUCCAGAAAAGAAAUCACCACUGAUAUUGGGAUGUAUGUACCAAUAUUUACCACAGGAAUAAAAAUAAAAUUGUCUGGCCUGCCAUGGUAGAAGCUCUUCUGAAAAAUAUUCCAUUUAUUGUGGACAUCAUGAAAUAGGAUUCACCUGUCAUCAGCAUUAUAGACUUGUGUGAUUUG